CCUACGGGAGGCAGCAGUGGGGAAUAUUGGACAAUGGGCGAAAGCCUGAUCCAGCAAUGCCGCGUGAGUGAUGAAGGCCUUAGGGUUGUAAAGCUCUUUUACCAGGGAUGAUAAUGACAGUACCUGGAGAAUAAGCUCCGGCUAACUCCGUGCCAGCAGCCGCGGUAAUACGGAGGGAGCUAGCGUUGUUCGGAAUUACUGGGCGUAAAGCGUACGUAGGCGGUUAUUCAAGUCAGAGGUGAAAGCCUGGAGCUCAACUCCAGAACUGCCUUUGAAACUAGAUAGCUAGAAUCUUGGAGAGGUGAGUGGAAUUCCGAGUGUAGAGGUGAAAUUCGUAGAUAUUCGGAAGAACACCAGUGGCGAAGGCGACUCACUGGACAAGUAUUGACGCUGAGGUACGAAAGCGUGGGGAGCAAACAGGAUUAGAUACCCUGGUAGUCCACGCCGUAAACGAUGAUAACUAGCUGUUCGGGCUCUACGAGCUUGAGUGGCGCAGCUAACGCAUUAAGUUAUCCGCCUGGGGAUACGGUCGCAAGNUUAAAACUUAAGGAAUUGACGGCUGAGAGNGCGACGACGACGACGAGGGAGAGG
rnacentral:rRNA from 1 species